AGGGACAUAACAUAAUCGGUUAAUGUGCUUGUUUUGGGAACAAGAGAGUGCAGGUUCAAGUCCUGCUGUCCCUA
rnacentral:tRNA from 1 species